CUCUUCCGGGUUCCUUUCAAAAUUGUGUUUUUACAGCCCAAUUUUGUCAAUUCAAACCCCCAAACAAAAACCCCCUUUCUUUUAAAAUUCUUUUCAUUUGACUUUUCUUCUUCUCGUUCUCUUCAAUACCCGCAAACCCAUUUUUGUUACACAAGUGUUUAUGGAGGGAAUAUCGCACCCAAUACCCAAAACUCUAGAGUAAGUCUUCGUUGACUUUAAGGGCAGACGAGCUGGCUUGAUCAAGGCUUUAACUACUGAUGUUGAGAAGUUCUACCAGCAGUCCGAUCCUGAGCUUCAAAACUGUGUACACAAGAAAGAUACUUUGCAUGGGAUUGAAGUCCCUGGCAGAUGCAUUCGGGGCAGUGCCCCUUCAUGAAAUUGGAUGAGGCUGCUGUGCAGAAGAUAUUCCUGAAGUCGCUUGAUUGCAGCGCUUGAUUGCAAUGUAAUACGUCAUAUGACGUCC